rnacentral:rRNA from 1 species
AACGAACGCUGGCGGCAGGCCUAACACAUGCAAGUCGAACGGUAACAGGUUAAGCUGACGAGUGGCGAACGGGUGAGUAAUGCAUCGGAACGUGCCCGAUCGUGGGGGAUAACGCAGCGAAAGCUGCGCUAAUACCGCAUACGAUCUGAGGAUGAAAGCGGGGGACCGUAAGGCCUCGCGCGAUCGGAGCGGCCGAUGUCAGAUUAGGUAGUUGGUGGGGUAAAGGCCCACCAAGCCGACGAUCUGUAGCUGGUCUGAGAGGACGACCAGCCACACUGGGUCUGAGACACGGCCCAGACACCUACGGGAGGCAGCAGUGGGGGAUUUGGGACAAUGGGCGAAAGCCUGAUCCAGCAAUGUCGCGUGCAGGAAGAAGGCCUUCGGGUUGUAAACUGCUUUUGUACGGAGCGAAAAGGUCCUUUCUAAUACAAGGGGCUCAUGACGGUACCGUAAGAAUAAGCACCGGCUAACUACGUGCCAGCCGCCGCAGUAACAC